ACGAAAUUAGAAGGUCUUAAGGCCUUUCUAACACUUGUGAACUUGUACAUGUCUCUGGCGGCUGCUCACGCUCCGCUUGUUUAUUUGUAAACUUGUAGAAAUAUAUGUCUAGACCUUAAUUAAAAGUAAUUAAAAA
rnacentral:misc_RNA from 1 species